GGAGAAAACAAACGUGAGGGAGAGAAAUAGAGAGGCAGCCAUGGUUCUUGAAGUUUAAAGGUUCAAAGGACGGAGAGGCAAGCAGGAUAAGGAAUAAUUCAGACAAGGUACAGAUGCAGGUUUUGAGAGUCCGUCAGCUUAGGAUUCCAUGCAGUUCAGCUGGAAGAGGCUUCAUUAUAUCGGGGCCUAGUUUUUGAUACUGUCCACGAAUGUAUAGAAGUUGUUUUAACCAUUCAGGGGUACGGCGGGGGCCCUGUCCCGCCAUAUGUUGUCAUUUAUAUGUUUAGAG